rnacentral:lncRNA from 12 species
UCUCCCUCUGCCCCUCCUGCUCAUGCUCUCUCUCCCUCUCAUAAAUAAAUAAAUAAAUAAAUAAAUAAAUAAAUAAAUAAAUAAACAAACAAACUCUUUUUAAGGUACCAAACUUCAUAAUUAAGAUGUCAUUGGUGUCUUCUGAAAGAAUCAGGCAGCCAAAAGUUAAGAAGUGGGUGGAUCAUGAAGUGUGGACAGCAAGCAUAAAGGAGUCAAGAAAUUUAGUGGAAGCACAGAGAAAGGUUGUAUCAUCCUGAGAGUACCUUCAUGGACCCUUGAAGCUCCCAUCAGUGAAAAAUCUGAAUCCUUCCCUGUAAGUCUCCACCUUCGUGCUAAAGGAUUCCCAUGCUCCCAGCAGCCAGGCAGUAUGAUAAAAGAAAGCCAUGCUUCUCAACCCCUGUAAGUCACCCGGGGUCUGCCGAACAUGCAGAUUCUGAUUCUGUGGAUCUGGAUGGAGCCCCAAAUUCUGCAUGUCUGAAAAGUUUCCAGGUGAGGCUGGAACUCUGAAACUCUCUAUCUAGGAAACAUAUCAAAAUUUUGGGGAAAAAUAAUUUUUUUUUCUUUAAGAUUUUCAAAAUUUAUUCAUGAGAGACACAGAGAGAGGCAGAGACACAGACAGAGGGAGAAGCAGGCUCCCUGAGGCGAGCCCGAUGUGGGACUCGAUCCCAGGACCCUGGGAGCAUGACCUGAGCCAAAGGCAGAUGCUCAACCACUGACUCACCCAGGUGUCCCAGGAAAAAAAAAAAUCCUUUUUAAAAAAUGCUUUCCAGCCAAUGGUAGAGACUUGAAGGAAGGGAAACCUGGAGCCAGAAGUGAAGCCAGACCCCAGUCCAAGUAGAUACAUGUGAAAAGAAAUGGUCAUAUCGUCUAGGAAAUUUUGC